rnacentral:lncRNA from 1 species
GGAACUGGGUUAGAUGAAGGAUCUCCAGGCCUAAAAGGGAGCGGGGGUCUGAGAGAGCAGUGUUUGCCCAAACUCUGCUGUUUUUACCAGGAUGGAUACACGUAAGUAAUUCGCAUCAAAAGGAAAAACCAGGAUCAGACAGAAGCCACCAAGACUUUUUACUUUUUAGACAGUGAAUUUUGCAUGAAAUCAUUAAGGUGUCCAAAUUGCAGAAAGGCUAUGGAAUGAAUGGCAAUGAGAGCUCAUCUAAUAUUAUUUCUAGCUGAAAUUUAGCUGAAGAAAAAUGACAUGUUCCUUUAUUAAAACACUAUGGGACUUGACAGCAAAGCUCCCACACAUUUCUAUGGGUGUUAUUGUCUAGUAAAUUAUAUUGGACCAUUGCUACAGAAAAUCCAUAACAUGUUCUCAAAAUCAAAUCUUCUCUGUUGACAAAUGGUUUAGGAACAAUCUUUCCAAGCUAAAAAAAAAAAAAAAAAAAAAAAAAAACCCAAACAGAAACAAGUUUGUUAGCAAAUGCUGCAUUAGAAAGAGAACUGGACUAGAAAUCGUACUUCCUGGGUUCUAAGCUUUCUGAUCUGAGGGAGGGGCUGGUUGUCCCUCCAGUGGUAGGAACUAUAUUUUCUGUAUUCUUUUAUACUUGCUUCUAAUUUUUAUACCCUCUUUUCUUUAGAUCACAUAUUUUUCUGCAUCACUAUUACCUUCCAUUUUAAUCUUAUUUAAAGCACAAUGUAUGUUCAUUGCAGAAAGUUCAGAUAAUGCAAAAAAGAUUCAAGAUGAAAAUAAACAUCACUUGUAAUCUCACCGUCCAGAGAUAACCACUGUUAACAUUUUGGUCAAUAUCAUUCUGAUUAAGGUAACAUUCAAAGGACCAGGAAGGUUUUUACCUUAGAGAACCAGGCAUUGCUUUCUGUUGAGGGAUGAUUGUCAUAAUCAGAAUCUGGAUCUGGUAGUGGUAGCUGUUUUAAAAAUCCUUAGGAGUUCCCAUUGUGGCUCAGUGGGUUAAGAAGCCAACUAGUAUCCAUGAGGAUAUGGGUUUGAUCCCUGGCCUCAAUCAGUGAGUUAAAGGAUCUGGUGUUGCUAUGAGCUGCCAUGUAGGUCACAGACAAGGCUUGAUCUGGCGGUUGCCAUGGCUGUGGCUGUGACUAGGCUGGCAGCUGCAGCUCCGAUUUGACCCCUAGCCCCGGGAACUUAUGUGUGCCGCAGGUGCGGCCCUAAAAAGCAGAAAAUAAUAAUAAUAAUAAAUAAAAAUCUUUAGAUGAAUGGUCACUAACUUUAAGUAAGCCCUUUCCUCAUUGCUAUCUCUUUCUUCUAGCUGCCUGCUUCAUUAUAUGAAGAUCUGUGUCAUCUCAGAGGAAACUACGUGCUCCCUUGCCCUCCGGCUUCCAGUAGGCUUUGGUCAAGGGGGACACAGGGAAGGAAUCUAAAGGAAGAAGACUAAGACUGGAGUAUUUAUUCCCUUGAUAGAAGAUCACAGUGUCUGUUGGGUGGCCUUCUCACACAGCUGUCUCUUCCUGGGGCGGGUGAGCACUCCCACAGAGACAAGGUGAAAGCACCUCACUGAUACUGGCACCCAGCCUUGAGACUAUAGCAGAGGAGGAGAAGAUGCAACCUGAUGAAUUGUACAAGAGCAGAAUUCCUGGUGAUUGGCGAGACCAGUUCUUCAACUGUUUCUUCAUAGUUUCUGAAACACACAAGAUAAUUGUUGUUCUGUCUUAAUUCUGAUCAUUUUCACAUUGAAUCUUCCAUUACGUGGCUUGGUCUUGUGGUGAGCAGACUGCAAGGCAACCUGUUCAGAUACCUGCCUCUGCUGCUGAGUAUCACCUAGAGAGAAACCUUUGCCUCCAUGAGAAAAAAGCUCAAUGUGUAUCUCUUCCAUUUUUUGUCUACAGUGUCUACAGUUUUUUUUUUUGAGCAAUUUCCUGUCUUCUAUAAUAGAUUUUGGAGAUCCUGUCGUGGCUUAGCGGUUAAUGAACCCGACUGGUAUCCGUGAGGACGUGGGUUCAAUCCCUGGCCUUGCUCAGUAGGUUAAGGAUCUGGCGUUGCCUCAAACUGUGGCAUAGCCCCCAGCUGUAGCUCCAAUUCGACCCCUAGCCUGGGAACCUCCAUAUGCUGCGGGUACAACCCUAAAAAGACAAAAUAAUAGUAAUAAUAAUAUAAUAGACAGAUUUUCAGUCCUCAAUAAGGAAAGACCAAAAGGAAGAUAAAUGAGCAAUUACUGAGGUCCUACUAUGUGACAAGUGCCAUCACAUAAAUCAUUUAUUGGUUCAAUAAAUAGUAUAUGCACAAUCUGAUUAAAUAAAUGGUGGAUACAUGGAUGAUGAGGAUAAGGUCCAUGCAUAAAAGGAGCUCGUAGUCUACUGAGAGACAGACAAUUUCUAAGGAGAAAGAAUAGAAUUAGUAAUACUGAAUAAGGCUUAGCACUUCUUGGAGGUAUUUUUAUUCCCCGAGUUUACAAAUUUAGAAACUGAGGCCACCAGAGGUUAAGUGAUGAAUUCAUGAUCACAGAGUUAGAACUAGAAUUUAAAUUCAGAUCUGAAUCAAUUAGGAAAAAAAACUCUACCAGAAAAAUACAUUUUAAAAUUUAUUUCAGGGAGUUCCUCUCAUGGCUCAAUGGUGAUGAACCCAAUGAGUAUCCAUGAGGCUAGGGUUUGAUCCCUAGCUCUGCUCAGUGGGUUAAAGAUCCAGCACUGCUGUGAGCUGAGGUGUAGGUUGCAGAUGCAGUUCGGAUCUGGCAUUGCUGUGGCUGUGGCGUAGGCCAUGGGUUACAGCUCUGAUUUGACCCCUAGCCUGGGAAGUUCCAUAUGCCCCAGGUGCAGCCCUAAAAAGACCAAAAAAAAAAAAAAAAAAAAAAAA